rnacentral:lncRNA from 1 species
GGGAGGUCCAGGUUGAAGCAGGAGGGCCUCUUGCCAUGCAUAUCACUGCUCCAGCUCUGGUAUCUGGAAUGAUGAGACCUAGGGAGUUUGCCAAGGAAUUCUGUUGACAGCUGCCAUAAUCAGUACUGGAGUCCAAGCUUGUCUGCAGCCAGUUCCUGCUUCCCAGCCACUUGUAUCCCGAGUUAGCUGAGUCCCGCUUUCAGUUUGCUGAAGUCCCUUACAGACUAACGGCCGGUCUCCUGUUGUCUUGCAGACCUGGAAUGAAUACCCAUCAGGGGCCACUGAAACCUGUGGCGGAGGAGCUGGUGUGCGCUACAAUGAGAGCUCCGGUGGGGCCCAGCUGGCACACAAGCUGGAGUCCUGCAUUUUUCCAGUAUGGGAUGCAUCUCUACACUCAGUACAGACUGAGGCUGGCAGUCACACUAGAGGAGAGGCCUGGAAUUGCCCCAGCAUGCCCUACGGCACUCAGAAGCUGCCCACUCUGGUCCCUGGAGGGGCUUCUAAGCCCUCUGCCUGUUGGUUUCUUUCUGGGGUUUCAUGGUUACCAGGAUAUGAUGAUCUCAGAGGUGGGAGCCCAGGAAGGCCCUUGGAUGGCUUUGGAAUGGGGUGGCUUCAGCAAAGGCCCUGAGUAGCUGACAGUGGUGGUCGUGGUGUCUUUGUUCUAUAUUCUGAGUCUCCAGACUUGGUAAGGGCCCAGUAGAUACUCAGGAUGCUGUCCUGUUAGUACCACACAAAGGCUGCAGGCUAGGAUCCUCAGGUCACAGCUCCAAGUGCUCAGCGUGGGCUACAGUUACUGAGCAGCCGUGGAAGGACUGAGGGCACUUCAGGUGCUCAUAUGUUCUGAGACCUUAGGUGCCUACCUUAACCCGAAACCCAAUGUUCUCUGAUCACCUUACCUUUGUUGGGCUGUGCCCUAUCUGGAAGGCUGGUUUCUUUCAGACAGCCCCGAAGACGCCUCCCCCUUUUCCACGGUCCUUGUAUGCUCUUGAUCUCCAGAGAGUCCUGAGAGGUGAGGGAGUCUAGUAGGAGAGAAGAGCCCCAGGUCUGCCGUGUAGCUGGUUCCGCAUGAGCAUGAGCUGUGCUAGCAUGUUAAAUACCCUACAGAUUGGUGUGUUGGGUUGGGUGAGGGUCUGUGUGGAGCCCCGAGGCUGCACUGGGUGGGAGUGCUAGGAUGAUGCAGACUCGAAGACACACAGAGAGUGUGGGACACUAGAGUGUGCUGUGAGGAGCUAGAGUGGCCCUAGCCCCUGUUGCUAGGCAGCGCAUUUCCCUGGACACCAGUUGCCAUGGCAGCCGCUUCCUGCCCAUGUUGCCAUGACACCCAGAUGGCCUUGAGGAGCCUGAAGUGGUGGUAAGGGGCUAGCUAUCCAGACACACUCACACCACCCUUCCCCCCAGCCCGGCUGGUGCCUAGGGGAUGCUGAGGAGAGGAGAGAGGACAGGCUAUGUUAUCCAGAGCCGCUUGCCUACAGCUGGCCUGAGAUGAAGUCAGGGGCUAAAUGGGCAGAUUCUACUCUCCUUACUAUGGCCUUGACACUCAAUGACCCAUGCUCAUUACAGGGCCUGAGUAGAACUCAGAGUCAUAGAGCCAGCCACACCCAUGAGAGAUUCUCAUUUCUGUAUUUUUAACCUGGGCUUCUGGCCCUUACCCACCUAGUCUGUUCUCCACUUGCAGCCCCAAAGCACCCUGCGUAGGACUAGAGGAUCCUACAGAACCUGGAUGAAUGUGUCUGGGGUUUCACAGGCAUUCCUGGAGUGGCCUUGGGAUUAUUACCCUGUCAUCCAGGACUCUGCCCAGUCCUUUCAUCUCCUACCCAGGACCUAGGGUAUGGCCUAGGCAUGAACUCUCCUUUGCUCUGUUAGAGAGGCAAGAUGACACUUGGCUCUGAGUCACAGCCUGUGACCUUCCAGGUGGCAGAGGGGCAGAUGAGGGAUGAAGUGGUCUGUGUGAUGAAGUCACCCCAGGGCCAGAAGGUAGGGGCUGCUAGGCCUCUCUGUUCCUGGCAAAGUAGACAUGAGUUUCUGAGAGCUGUGUGACCUUCUCGGCCUUCUCCAGUCUGCAGGGAGUGGGGAGUGCAGAGCAAGCAGGGUCCUGAGACCAUGGUGUGGGCAAAAGAAGGUCUCAGAGCUAGGCAUGCUACUUCAUGCUUGUGUGUAUCAGGAUUUUGUAAGGCUAGAGCAGGAGGAUUGCCAUGAGUUUGAGGCCAACCUAGGAUGCACAGUAAAAUCCUGUCUCCAUGUCUUAUCCCCACAAAGAGGGCACUAGGUGGGCUGGGUCCUUGAGGUCUUCUAGGAAUUCCCAGCUCCAGAGGUUGAAGCUCUUGGAGGAAAGGCACACCCAUGGGGCGCUCAGUACUGGACAUGGACUUUCUGCUCCUAGAAUGUAUGUGGUGACAGGCUGUUUGCUCCUCUCUUCUGUGGUCACUCUCUGGAAGCCACUGCUCAUAUUUUUUUUAAAAAAUGAUUUAUCUAUUUUAUGUGAGUACACUGUAGCUGUCUUUAGACACACCAGAAGAGGGCACUGGAUCCCAUUGGAGAUGGUUGUGAGCCACUGUGUGGUUGCUGGGAUUUGAAGUCAUGGCCUCUGGAAGAGCGGUCAGUGCUCUUGGCCACUCGUAUUUUUAACUUUAACAGUCAGAAAGACAGUAAGAGUGCUAAAGACAACCCUUGUGAAAGACACAGUCCCAGUAGACAGCCAUCAUUUCAGGAUGUCGGGGGCUCUGAGGCCUUGUACUGGGAGGUGGCCUGCUGACCGCCAUGCUGUGCUCCACUAGGCUGCUGAGCGUAAGCACCCCUGCCCAAGCUGAGGACCCUCUCCUUUCUUAGGAGUCAGAUCUCGUCUCUUGUUACUUCCAGAUGGACAGUGGUGUCCAGAAAGUCAGCAUGAAUGGGCUGCCUGGCGGUCAGUACCAGUUCACCUUACUGGGGCUAGAACCUGGGUUCUUAUCUUUCCUGUUGUAUUCUAUCUGACCCCACUCUUGAUAGAUACUGGCCUACCUGUCAGCGCAGGCAACAGUGCCAGGCUAUAAACUCCAAAGGCCUAUUUCUGUAUCCUGAUGACAUAAAGACCCUCAGGUUAAAGUGGGACUGUGAACAAAUGAGAGAGAUCACUUUAAGCUGCCAAAAGCUGGCUCCUGGCUUCGAUGCUGAUGGCAGGCAGAGCAGGAGUAGACUGCAGUUCCCAGACUUGCCACCAGAUGGUGCCUCAACCCUGCACCAGGCACAGAUACUUGGGUGGGAGCCAGCACCCAGGGUCGACAGGCUAGGAAGAAAUUGAAGAGUCUGCCAGGCAGAAACUUGUGCCACGGACAGAUCAGACACAAAGCAUCCACCCCCACUUGGAUCUGUGGUUUCCAUGACGGGUAGCCAUGUGGUCACAGCUCUCACUGGUUUGAGGGCGCUCCUUUUUUUAUUGCUUAGCACAGUGAGAUCCUGUCUCUGUGUCUUAUCCCCGCAAAGAGGGCACUAGGUGGGCUGGGUCCUUGAGGUCUUCUGGGAAUUCUCAACUCCAGAGGUCAAAGCUCUGGGAGGAAAGCUUAGUUUGAAGCAAAUUAUCCUAGACUUUCCCAGCACUGUACAGCGGUAUUCCAUCUGUCCUAUGGGCAGCUCUGGAUUGACCCACGUCUGUCACAGGCACUCACCAGUAGGAUAGGGAGUCCCAGAGCUAUGUGAUCAGGGCAGGCAGGAUGGUCCCAGCCAGCAUGUGUGACUGCUGUAAUACCAGGUCUUCGACACAUUGGAGAAGGAGAAGGUCUAGUGUAGAGCCCCGAGCCUAGCCUGACAUUUUCCUGCAUUUUAUCAGAACUUUCAGCCUUGGCCCUCUCAGCCCAGGUGACUAGGGCUUGGUUGAUGUCUUCAGGCUCUGGGCAAGGUUCAACCCCAAUCCAUAGGGCAGGGCCAACAGUCUGGGCUGUGCCCUUCUGGGAUGGAGUGGGAGUGUAAGAUAAGCCCGUCUUCAUACCCAAGUAGAAUGUCCCUCUCAUCCACAGACUCUAGUCUAUCUGUGUGCUAUGAUGUGGUGCUGCCAUGGAUCCUCAUCCCAGUGUAGUGUCAGUGACAGGAAGUGGACAGGAUGCACGCUGUCAUAAGACUCCUUCAGAGCCUCCAGACGGUGCUGUCUGAAGGCCUCCCUGCCCACUAUAAAGGAGGAAGAACAGCCUUGCUAGAGCUCCAUGCUCCUGGUGACUCCAACCUUUGAGGAUCUGUGUAGAUGUCAAGAUGGGAGACUGCUCUGAAAGCCACCCUUCCUCCCAUCUAGAUAGCAAAUCACCUGUCCAUGCUAUGGCCCUGACCUCCUCUCUUGCCUCUGGGGCAGGGGGGACUUCUCUCUAUGCGCCCCUGUUUAAAGCUGGUUCUGUUGAGCACAGCUGGCAAGUGAAUAGAAGUUAUCCCUGAGUCUGGAGCCUACAGCCUCUCUUCCCUCAGCCAGUGUGAGUUUACCUGCCAACACAGUGCCCACCACUGCUGCAAGCUCUCUCAACAAUCCUACAGACUCCUUCCAUCGCUAAGCACUCACUUCCUCACUCCUACCCAGUUCACCUGGCCACUCCUGAGUGGGAGCACCCUCAGCAGCCUCUCAGGCAGUGGGAGCACCCUCAGCAGCCUCUCAGGCAGUGGGAGCACCCUCAGCAGCCUCUCAGGCAGUGGGAGCACCCUCAGCAGCCUCUCAGGCAGUGGGAGCACCCUCAGCAGCCUCUCGAGCUGUGGCAGCACCCCCAGCAGUCUCUCAGCUGCCUGACUUGGAGAUAUCUGGGCCAGGUGGGCCUGGCUGCCUUUAACCAAAGGGAGGGUAUAAGAGUAAAUUCUGGUCUUGUUAUGCUGUGUGUGACCCUGUUCCACCUUCUCGGUCCCUGUUUUCUGGUCCCAUUCAUCAGCACUCAACCACAUCUUGCUCAACUGCCCUCCUUAACAUACUGCCUUCCUGCCUGCGGCUCCCACCUCUGCCUGGAUCCCCAGCCUCACUUCUUUCACAUCCCUGGCCCAUACUCCCUAGAAAGCUUUUGGGCCAGAGGCCUUGUGUUUUGGAGGGAGCAUGGGAUACAAUGGUCUUCCUGCUGCCCCCCACAACCUCACCCAACCAGGCAGCUGAGGAGCUAGCGACCCCACAACCCACCAACCCUAUGGCUGGCUGGUGGCUGCCUCACCACACAGGCUAGCCAGGAGAAGCCACCAGGCCUCCCAGCUGCAUCUUCUCACUGAAGCCUGUAUCAGAGAUAAAGGGCACUAUCAGUCCCCCGUUCGUGUGCCAGAAGCUGCUUGCAAUAUGAGAGAGAUGUUUAAUUUAUCUCAGGAACUAGGCACGAGUUAUAAAAAUGGUAAUUUCUUGAAGAUUCAAUUACCUGUUUUCAUUGUUACCCUGGUAAUCAAGGAAACGAUUUUUAAUGAUAGGCUGGAAGAUGGUACCAAUCUUGGAGGGAGGAUGGUGCAGGCUGGUGAUUAGGGACCAGAAGGACAAUAUCUAUAGACCAGUGGAGCCAAAGUACCCCAAUGUACUCCCCACCUGCCAGUGACCCCACCUCUGGAGAACUUCAGUCAUCUAUCUUCUGGGGCCUCUGCAGGAGCAACCAGGGCUUCUCAGGGAGGGGCUGAGACCUGAUCUCUGCACCCCCAAGUGAUGUCUCAGAUCUAAAUAACAUCUCCAGGAUUAACAUUGCUUGCAGCCAACAGUACCAGGUGAUUGGAAAAGGGGUUUUAUGGCCUCUUGGGUAAAAUUGAACUUGCAUCCGACCUGUGUUUCCAAGAUGGGAUUUUCCUCCCUGGCAAAUGAAGCACGCUCACACUAAUUACAACAGCCACUCCAGGCCACUCAUCAUACUCAGUGGGCAGGCACUCAUUGAGGCGGGGCCUGUGCCACCCAGGCGUCAGGGCUGGGUCAUCGACGGGAGCCCAAAUCUCUUGAUGACCUUGCUGCUGGCUCUAGAGGAAGGGACAAUGUAGUCAGGAGAGGAGAGAGGAAUGCACAGGGAGAGAUGGAAUGAGGGUAGGCUGACAGAGUACACCAGGGAGGACACAUCUGAGGUUCCAGGCUGCUGGGGCUGCUGGGUCUCACUGGGAACGCAGGGCUCCUCAGUUGGACUCAGGGCAGAACCCUGGAUAUGCUCCAGCAGGACCUGGAAUCUUAGUUGAGGGUGGACUUGGCACAGCUUCUCUUGGGUCCUCCUACCUGGUCUCCAGGCUGCUCUGGCUCCGGCUCCCUCAACCCAGUGACAGGUUGGGUUCUGCAGGAGCAGGCCCUGUCUCCCUCCUACUUUCAGGGGCUGUUGGCUUUGUUGUCAUGCUAUCAGAGGGCAUGGAGUCAUGAAGACACCUCCAGGGAAGCAGGGAGAGGCACGUAGGCUUAGAUCCAGGUCUGGGGAAGGAAGACAUGCCUAUCCUUUUACAUAGAGACCCAGGGACACAGCCGCUACCACUGAUCCUCCCUCCCUCACCAUCCACUUCACAGGCUCAGAGAGUACCGGGGUUUAUCUAGGGUCACAGUGCCAAUGAGCAAGAGUGGGUUGCUAUGGGCAUCAUUGUGGGUGUGUGCCACGCCACUGCUAGGCAAAUGGAUUUUGUCUUGUCUUGGUUUUUUUGAGACAGGAUUUCUCAGUGACAUCCUGGCUGUCCUGGAACUUGCUCUGUAGACCAGGCUGGCGUCCAACUCAGAGAUCUGGGAUUAAUGGUGUCUACCACCACUGGCUCCCUGCGAAGUUUGACUACCAGCUUCCAGAGAGGAUGGCUCCCAGUGUCCUGAAAGGGAACCUUCCC